rnacentral:piRNA from 1 species
UAACCUGUGCCAACACAGUCUAAGACUCA